ACGAAUUGUAUCCAACCAUCAAAUUGUCCAAACAGAAACCAAAGACUUAGUAUCCAAAUAUGUUAUUGUGUUGUGCCACGGAAUUAUCCGCUUACGAAUAAUGAAGAUAAAUGCUAAUACAAAAAUUAUUGGGAAGAAUGUUAUUUUAGUGCCAUACAGGGCAGAACAUGUACCAAAAUAUCAUGAAUGGAUGCAAUCUGAAGAGCUUCAGCACCUCACUGCCUCUGAACCAUUAACACUCGAAGAAGAAUAUUCAAUGCAACAAAGCUGGCUUCAUGAUGCCAACAAAUGCACAUUCAUCAUCAUUGAAAAAAAAGAAUUCAAAAGAAGUGACAAUGAAAUUGGUUCCAUGGUAGGAGAUACAAAUCUGUUUCUUCAAGAACCUGAAGACAGUCAGUCAGCAGAAAUUGAAAUAAUGAUUGCUGAAGAAAAAGCCAGAGGCAAGAAAUAUGGCUGGGAAGCAACUUUAUUGAUGCUGUGUUAUGGGUGUGAAGUCCUUGGAAUUAAAAAGUUCCAUGCCAAAAUUGGUCUGGACAAUGUUAAAAGCAUAUCAAUGUUCUCCAAGAUGGGAUUUAAUAAAGUUAGUGAAAGUAACAUCUUUCAAGAAGUUACCAUGGAAAGGAUAGUUGACAAUGGCUGGAAGACCUGGCUCCUGGAACAAACACAAGGCUCAGAACAAGUGAAAGAUUAGUAUCUAUCUUUGUCCCAAGAGUUGCAUGUGGAUAGUGACUGAAAACAUGUUAAAACUGCAGUGUUGUCUCAAAAUUGUUGAUUUACAAUAUUUGUUGCUUUUACAAUUAAGAAAUGGGAAGUACAGGUUCACAGGCAUAAACCCACAGACUUCAACAUAUGUUGUUAACCAUGUCAAAUCCAAUAAAGGCAUCAACAGUAAUGAAGUACAAAGUUGCUCUGGGUGCAUUUACUUGAAUUCAAAACAGCAACAAUAUUGUGGGAUUCACAGCAAUGUAUCAAAUUUAUUCAUCCAGUCACAUUGCAGGGUGGAUAAUCCUGACCGAAAGCCUCCCAUCAGGCCACAAAGAAAGCUGGUCAAUAUGGAAGACCUCAACAGGCUGCGUUCUGGAGUUGGAAGAAGGAAGAAACUUGAAAAAGUGGGGAUUUGCAUGCGAUUCCACAGCAUGUGAAUGUGUUGAAGACCAGACAAUGAGUCAUCUUCUUGUCUGAAGCGUAUAUCCAAUGUCAUACACAUCACAGAAUGUCACUGAUGCCACCAAGGAAGCAUGCGAAGUUGCUGCAUACUGGUCAAGCCACAUUUAAUUUUAACUGUAAUACUU